AAUGAACGUUGGCGGCGUGGAUUAGGCAUGCAAGUCGUGCGAGAAGUUUUUUUGCUUGCAAAGAAACGGACAGCGGCGCAAGGGAGAGUAACGCGUGGAAAUCUACCCUCAGAUUCGGGAUAGCGUCGGGAAACUGGCAGUAAUACCGAAUAAUGUCUCCGGACCAAAGGUGAAAUUCCGUCUGAGGAUGAGUCCGCGUCCUAUUAGCUUGUUGGUGGGGUAAUGGCCUACCAAGGCAUCGAUGGGUACCGGGUGUGAGAGCAUGGCCCGGCUCACUGGGACUGAGACACUGCCCAGACAUCUACGGAUGGCUGCAGUCGAGAAUCUUCGGCAAUGGACGAAAGUCUGACCGAGCGACGCCGCGUGUGGGAUGAAGGCCCUCGGGUUGUAAACCACUGUCAGUUGGGAGGAAAUUCUAGAGGGCACUCUCUCUAGUUUGACCGAUCUUCAGAGGAAGUACGGGCUAAGUUCG
rnacentral:rRNA from 1 species